rnacentral:rRNA from 1 species
ACUCCUGCGGGAGGCAGCAGUGGGGAAUUUUGGACACUGGGCGAAAGCCUGAUCCAGCCAUGCCGCGUGCAGGAUGAAGGCCUUCGGGUUGUAAACUGCUUUUGUACGGAACGAAACGGCCUUUUCUAAUAAAGAGGGCUAAUGACGGUACCGUAAGAAUAAGCACCGGCUAACUACGUGCCAGCAGCCGCGGUAAUACGUAGGGUGCAAGCGUUAAUCGGAAUUACUGGGCGUAAAGCGUGCGCAGGCGGUUAUGUAAGACAGUUGUGAAAUCCCCGGGCUCAACCUGGGAACUGCAUCUGUGACUGCAUAGCUAGAGUACGGUAGAGGGGGAUGGAAUUCCGCGUGUAGCAGUGAAAUGCGUAGAUAUGCGGAGGAACACCGAUGGCGAAGGCAAUCCCCUGGACCUGUACUGACGCUCAUGCACGAAAGCGUGGGGAGCAAACAGGAUUAGAAACCCCUGUAGUCCC